GAUGAACGCUAGCUACAGGCUUAACACAUGCAAGUCGAGGGGAAACGGCAUUGAGUGCUUGCACUCUUUGGACGUCGACCGGCGCACGGGUGAGUAACGCGUAUCCAACCUUCCCAUUACUGUGGGAUAACCUGCCGAAAGGCAGACUAAUAUCGCAUAGUCUUCGAUGACGGCAUCAGAUUUGAAGUAAAGAUUUAUCGGUAAUGGAUGGGGAUGCGUCUGAUUAGCUUGUUGGCGGGGUAACGGCCCACCAAGGCGACGAUCAGUAGGGGUUCUGAGAGGAAGGUCCCCCACAUUGGAACUGAGACACGGUCCAAACUCCUACGGGAGGCAGCAGUGAGGAAUAUUGGUCAAUGGGCGAGAGCCCGAACCAGCCAAGUAGCGUGCAGGAUGACGGCCCUAUGGGUUGUAAACUGCUUUUGUAUGGGGAUAAAGUCAGUCACGUGUGAUUGUUUGCAGGUACCAUACGAAUAAGGACCGGCUAAUUCCGUGCCAGCAGCCGCGGUAAUACGGAAGGUCCAGGCGUUAUCCGGAUUUAUUGGGUUUAAAGGGAGCGUAGGCCGGAGAUUAAGUGUGUUGUGAAAUGUAGACGCUCAACGUCUGACUUGCAGCGCAUACUGGUUUCCUUGAGUACGCACAACGUUGGCGGAAUUCGUCGUGUAGCGGUGAAAUGCUUAGAUAUGACGAAGAACUCCGAUUGCGAAGGCAGCUGACGGGAGCGCAACUGACGCUUAAGCUCGAAGGUGCGGGUAUCAAACAGG
rnacentral:rRNA from 1 species